rnacentral:misc_RNA from 1 species
GAAACAAAGAAGAAAUGUGGUGAACUAGAUUUUAUAAUGUAAAAUAAUUAGCCAAUUGUGCUCAUGAAAUGUACUAGCAUCGGCAUAUGUGGAUAUUGUCCCAACAAAAAGUGGAUAUACAAAUAAAUUCCAUGGCUAAUGAAGACAGACAAAAGAAAUAUAAGAAAUGGGAAGUUUCAAAGGGUAGUGAAGAAAAGAAGGGUUCAGGAGUGCAGCAGAAAAGCAAGUGACAGAAGUUAACAACAACUACUACAACAACAACUAUUACUACUAAUCCUUUAAGUGACACAAGUUAAAUUUCAGAAUAAUAGCUACGUCAUGUUUUGCAUAGCAUUUAAUUUGUAUUUGGUUUGGUGCAAAAUACAAGUAUAUACCUGACAGGCUAAAAAAACAGUUAAAAGUUAAAAAGUUCGAUGAG